rnacentral:lncRNA from 1 species
ACAAUAUCUGCACUGCAACACGUUCUAUUGGCGACGUGAAGUGGGUCCCCCACCACUAUUUGCGUGGUGGGUAGCCGGUAGGUAGGUAGGUAGGUAGGCGGCUCAUUGCUAAUUGCUGAGAGCUAUUCAACGGUCACCAACGGUCACUAACCGAACACCCCCUUGGGGCAACCUCAGCGCUAUGACCACGGCCAUGUGAGAGGAGACCUGAGAGGUCCCCAUGCGCCGCUUUUCCCCCUCCCCACCCUCGGGGCGGUUCAGCUACCCGGGGUACCGAACAAAGUGCUGCUCGGGUGCUGCUUCAGGGGGGUAGCUCACCCCCCCUACCAGACGAGGACGGUCACACCAGUGGAUAACGUGCAGGAGGUGGGUUAGUUAAUGGGGCUGAGCUUCCAGCUACCUCAUUGCUUCGGAACCCAGCAGUUUGUGGUUCUUUAGGCAGUUGGUCGGCAGUUAAUUCUUCAGUUUCUUGCAUCGUAUGAAUUCCCCCUCGCCGACCACCCCCCUUUCCCUUCCCAGGAUGCAGGAUACCGAAAGCGAGCGAAACGAACAAGCGGGGCCCGGUCAUCACCAAACUGCAGGCAAUCCAGGUAAAAGCCCCAGGGGAGAGGAGGCUGACCCUCUCGGCCCUGUGGCUGGCUCAGAAAGCACAUCUCCCAGGAACAUCCUCUGUCGCAGAAGUCUGACAGGUGCGGCUCGGAUGUCCGGCACCGUACAGGCGCCGUACUGCACUCGCGGCUCCAUCCCUCACCUCGUCCUCAGUCCAGUUGCAAGAUGUCACCAAGGCGGUUCUCAGACUCGCACGCACUUUGUCGCACUCCUGAAGGCAUUGAGAGGAGGUUUACAACCCCGUAAGCCGUACAAGAGAGUACGAAAAGAUGCCGUGACGUGUAACGGCCAUUCCGUACGAAAGCUGCAGCACCUCGAGGUCCUUCUGCAGCUUCCGAUAACGCUCAAGUCGUCCAUCUGCCUUCUGGUCUUCCAACUGGGCUUGAAGUUUUCGUAUUGUUGCUUGCAGUGACUUGAUGGCGUCGGGACCUGCGGCAUGUCAGCUGGUUCGAUUACUGGUACUUAGCAACCGACGUUGCCCAUGUAAUCAGGCCCAUGUAAUCAGGCCCAUGCAGCCCGAGAGCAUUACCUCCUGCAAUUAGGUAUCCAGUGAAAAGGUCUGCUGCGCCGUGAACUGUUACUACUGUAUGUCGCGUCGCUUCGCGCCAGCGUUGCAGGUCUAGUGUUUCUCGUGGCCGCAUUCGUCUCAAUCCGAAGGACAGGUUUGGAUUAUGUGGUGUCCUAGUCAUCGGCAUGCCCUUGCAGGCGAAUCAAAGCUUGGCGACAAAUUUAUCGCCGAAAGCGAGGUAAAUUAUUGCAAAACAGCGCAUGUGGUAUAUAUUUGAAGUAUAACUUUAGAGCAUUGGGUUUGCAAGAGGAAGAAGGCUUUGCUAGAAAGACGUUUUUUAAAGUUCGUCGGAUCCGCUCGACAGUUGCAAUUGCAGAUGCACAACCUUUGGCGUCUUGGACCCAAAAAAUUUAACUUGAUUCCCAUGUUUUAUGGCCCCUAUAAUAAAAACGCUCAAGUCAAAGAGGUGUAUGUGUUGUCAAGCCGUACUGGCGCAUUGUUAUCCCUGAUGCUGUUACAGUGCCGCGCCCAACCCGUUCCGUUCACAAUCUGAAGUGGCCUCGUCCUCCAGUUGACCCCAAAGCCUUCAUACCCCAGGAGAAGGUUCUGUGCAACGCAAGCGGUGCAGCGUGCCCUUCCGCACGUGCCGCGUGUCCGUCUCUUAAAGAACUUGUCGGCCCAUGUGUGCACGAUCACGCAUGGUGACUUGUAGGCACAGGUACGUCCACUCCCGUGUCGACCGACUCGCGGAAACACAACGUCUCAACCUGAACAGACGCCUCACCAAAACACCAAUCCGACCCGAUCGGACAACGAUGUAAGCCACUGCCAAGUUUCUUACACGCCACGCGAUUACCAGCCCCCAUCAGUAACUCCAACUCCAACCCACCUCCCAUCAACGCAAGACAGUCCACACACAAUACAAUAACUAAAUCCCAAAACCACCCUCUGAGGCAAGGUCGCCUCCCACGCACUGGACACUCCCACGCAUUCCCUUUUCCGCCUUUUCCCCCCUUUCCCUGGUCCAGCUCAUUCCGUGCUCUGCUGCUGCUGCUGCUGGUGUGGGCCGCAAGGGCGGAGCCGCACCCCGUGAGAGGAGAUCACUUGAGCGAGUUGUAGAAGAGGAUGAGGAUGGUCCCCACCACCAGCAUCACGGGGAUGGCGCUCACGCCGUACAGCACGCCGUACCCCACCCAGCCGGGCAGCAUGUCCGUCAUGGACUGCGGCUUCUCUCCCUUGCGGAGCUCGUCGCCCAUCACAUACGGCUUCACGACCGUGUCACCUGCGAUGUGCCCGAAGGGGCAAAUGGGGAGCCGAGUUGGAAGAGCAGGAGGAUGAGGAUGAGGAAAGAGUGGGACGGCCCCCAAUAGGAGGCGGGGGAGAAGGUCGGAAACUCAGUUAGGGGAGGGGAGGAGGCAAACAAAGGAAAAAAUCGGAUUGCACGGGGGACUCAGGUGCAGCGGUGGCGGCGGGGCGGGAAAGCAAGAAGCGACUUUGUGUUGACUGCGGGACGUGUGCGACGGCUGGCGAGUGUGUUGGGAGCCGGUUGGGAGGUCCUGAGGUCCUGAGGUCCUGAUCCGCGGGGUGGACCAGGGGUGGGGGCACCGUCCAGUCCAGGAAACUCAUUGGGGCAAUCUGGCGGAGCGGUGCGCGGGGCCAGCCCCGAGCACAGUGGUGUGGCCGCCAGCACAGGACUGCAACUCUCAUCCCCUCUCCUCCUCCUCCUCUCCUUCCCCAACAUCCGAAACCAAGGUAUGCCGCCUGCUGCCGUACACUGCCACAACUGCAGGAAACCCGCUCCUCCCUUCACAACCCCCCUACGGCCGUACCACCAAAGCGAUGGCCCCCGGGCCCCGUCAUGCCGGUCUCCCCAGCCAUUCCCAAACAACACCCCCACGCCGCUACCCGUUCCCUCCCCUCCCUCCCUCCCUCCCUCCCGGACCCACCUCCCAUGAGAGCUGCGUAGUCGGAUGCGCUCGGCUUGCUGCCGGUGCUGGUGGUGGCGGCCGCCGCCCUCUCCGCCGCCCCCUGCUGGCUGCUGGCGACUGCGGCGGCGGCGGCUGCCGGCAGCUCCCCGCCCACCUCCAGGAAAGGCCAGUUGAGCAUUUCGUCGUGCAGGCACUUGAGGGCUAUCCGGUCAUUGGGGAUGCGCCCCUCGCCGAUAUCCACCAGGGCGGCGGCCAUCUCGUCACGGGACACACCGCGCUCGUCCUAGGGGGGUGGCGGCAAAAUGUCAUUGUCGGGGAGGAGGAGGAGGAAGAGGAAGGGAAGCUGUCGACGAUAGCAGGGAAUGAAGGGUUUGAAGGAGGUGUGUGAGGAGGUGUGCUGAGGAAUCUGGGAUACGAAUGAAUGAGGCCCGGUUCGGGCACAGCAAACCCCUACCCGGGGCGCGUUAUCGCGAGACACCCCCUUCCGGAUCAUCCUGGUGUCUGAACCACGCGGCCAUGGUGGUGCUGAUGGUGAUGGAUGUCGUGCAUGAGCACGAAAACACCGACUGGGAAUGUCGCAGCUGUGAGGCUGCCAAUCAGUGAGUUCGACAGACUGGCCGUCAUCGUCACCGCUGCAGCGCACAGUGUAACAUGAAAUGGCCCCGGGGCCCCCCCUGGGCAAUACCAACGUACCGAGCUUCGAGAUCCUGUGCCUUCCAACUCGCGCCGUCAUAUAUCCGGGUUGGCUCCUCUUUGAGGUACUGCCUCACCCUUGCUGUACUUGCGCACGUGCACGUGUGCAUCCGCUCACCCACUACCCAGGCUUCGGUCCGCAGCCCCGACCUUCCCGUCUCACCCUGUUUAUGUGUGUGCGACUGCGUGUAUGGCGGUGCACACACCUGUUCUCCUUUCCCGCGCAGUCCCUGAGCCCCAACCGCGGAGGGAGCCUCCUUCAGAAAUAUACCAGAUCUUUUGGUAUUUUGGUACCUCCACUCUCCCUCUCCCCGGUUUUUUAACCCCUCACCCUUACCUCCUUAUCCACCCCCUUCUACUAACCGCCUACUACCUCCUACCCACCCGGUGUUUCACCCCUCACCCUUCCCCCCCCACACACACACACACGGAAGCAUCACCUCCAUGUCCGCCGCGCGGCGCUCCCGAGCCCGCGGGUCCUCGAUGGAUACGAUGAGCUUCACCUCGUUGAACGACAUGUCCCUGGUGCGCUUCAGGGUUUUGAGAACCUCGAAGAUAUCGCUGCAGUAUUUUUGCGCGAGCUGCAAAUUUGUUUCAGGCGAAGGAUAGGGUGAUAGGGAGGGCAGCCGCAGGGGAAGAUAAGGGAAAGACAGCUGACAUGAGGAUGCUGUCGAUACAGAGAGUACAAAUGCCGUGGGUAUCGGGGUUCUGCGUGUGCUGCGCCGUGCUGUGUCCAUUGUGGGAACACCUCACGCACGCACCUCGUCACUGACGACCUCGCCACCGAUGACAGUGUCCACGCCCUUGGUGCGAACGAAGGCAGCUACAAAUCAGAGGGAUUUGAAGGGUUCGGCGUCAUAAAACCUUGCGAAUGCAGUAAACCUGGUGCCUUGGCCGCGCACCUCCGCUCUCAAUCUCCGCCUGACGCCUCAUGAAGAGCUCCACCUGGGCUUCAAGAUCAACCUCCUCACUUGUUGCCCUGAGUGAACCAUGUGUAAGAUUUGACACUACGUUACGAGCGGUUCACGGUCUGGCGAGACCAGUCAGCGCACCUGAUGCGAUGAACAGGCCGGCGAGUUCCAACGAAGGGCCGCCGGUAAGACUUUGAAGUACAUCUUGGUAGGCCGCAAGGGCGGCAGACGCCCUGCAACUGAGCACUCAUGGUACUGUCGUGCGAGGAUUUAGAUACGAUUGAACGCCAGGUUGCAGUUAACCUGCGUUAUAAUCAGUGACAGCUAUUAUCGCUUUCAGCAGGUGCUCAUAGGAACAAGAUAAUUACAUGCAGCCCGGCUACUACUGUGGAUCGUUAGCAGAUGUACGAAAUACGACGAUGUAUUAGUGUGCAUUCGUGAGUUAAAGCUAUUAUAAUUGAUCUCACUGUCCUAAGAAUGUGAUAAUGUUGCUUAGUUAUGCAAGAGCCCUGAUAACCAUGGGAAGGACCCUUAUGCUUAUACUCUGUUUGGCGACUCGCGCAAUACUGUACACCUCGGCAGGUGCAGCUGAAUACUCCGACGUUCCGGUAUCUGUGGCUAUCAAGGGCGAAGGUGCUAAUGAUAAUUGGACUGUUCGUUAUGUCGGUAGGCAACGCCAACGGUUGCGUCCCCCCGGUUUCCAUGCAGAUGCCUAUGCGCAAUUGAAGGAGCUGUCUAAGCGUGAGACAAUCUUACAAACUAUAUUUGGUCAAGACUGUUACUCUCAGGCAUUGCUUCAGGCAUGUUGUGGGCAAUAUGGGAUUUGGAGACGAGGCGUCGCCUUGCGUCGCUCGGGUUCGUUGCCCAAGUCCUUCGUUGCCUCGAGACGAGCAACGAAUUUAAGAUUCGACACAUUAUGAGCCUAAAACUACAGUGAUAAUAUAAUAAUAUAAUAAUAAGUAUGUUUGGCCUUCGCUGAGCACGGCUACAUGCUCUCCCCAUGCAGAUAGACCGCAACUGCAACCAAAUGACGACAGAUCAGCAAUACAAGGUAGCGUCUGACGUUGCUGCUUGCCAAGGUAGCCUCAGCCGUUCCAGCGUUGUCUAAACCCGUUUUUUGCGCGCCGCUUUCGCAGUUGGCGCAUGCGAUGAACAUUUGCUUCCUGACCAGCAACGGCCACACCGGUUACAAAUGCACCGAUCGUAUGAGUGCAAGUGAAUGUUCAAAAAACCUUGAUAACCGGGCAUUCACUUCCUACAACAUGUUCUUCGCCAACAUCCACAGGUAGGGCAAGCAACUCCAUGGCGCUGCGCUAGCCAGCGCUGACUGCUGCUGUCCAGGGGACACUAUCCCAGGGAACCAUUCCGGGCUUCCCUCCCUCCACGCCACCGAAGGCUUACCUACAAUAGUUCCAGAGCCCCAGCUCGACGCCAACAGGGAAGCCUGCUGCCCUUCGUAUUGGAAAGUACAGAAUUAUAGCCCUGAGGGGGGUAAUUACGGCGGUGAAACUCGAACAGUAACGCCCGGUCUAAGCAACGAGAUGCCACGUAGAAAAUCGACAGAUGAGCAUGCCAUGUGGUGGCACCAAAGCCAUUCUGUCUGCGAAAAGUAUCUUAAUUCAUAAGUCCCAAUAAGUCUCAGCACUUACCCGUCGGCCGCCCGCAGAUCACAGCUUGCCAUGCCGUCUCCCCAUCCCGGCCCCAUCCCCCUUUCAGCCAGCGAGCUCCAUGCCAACCGGGAAGUGCCACAGAAUGCAAUCCCGGGGCGGGCGCCUGCGGAUUUGCAUUCACUUGCCAGCACACCUAAGCCCUCCACCUUUCUGCACCCCGCCAAGCACACGCAUGUCCAUGGCGGCUGCCCACUCCUCCCCUCCACGCAGCAUUUGUCUCUACGUCUCUAACCGGGAGUUCGAGCGGCACACGUCACAGCUGCUCAACAAGCUGUACGAGGGAGCAGGUGGGGCUCAUGAAUCAGCUGUACGCCCAGCCCCGCUGCCGCCGCCCUGCGUGGGGUGCCGUGUGUGCUAAUGCGUUCUUGGUGGGUGACACACGCACAUGCGUGUAUGGAGGUAUUUAUAGGCAAUGCACCUGCGGUGCCUUGUCCAACAACAUACAGGGGCGGCCCAGAACGUGCUGCAUGGUGUCGUUCAGGGCCUGCAGGUGCACCACGAGCAGCAGCUGCUGCUGCAUCAAGGCCUAUCGCAGGUGGGUGAGCCGGGGAGCUGGGAGGAUAAUAGGUGUACAUUGCCGGGACCCUGCCAUUCGGCUAUCUGCUCCAUCGACGCCAUCCCCUGUCCAGUGUGUGGGAGCGCAUUGCGUAGGAGUGGGAACGGGGCGGCAGCACCGCUAUUUUGACUGAUUGAACUGACAUACACGGUACUGUCGUGCGCCCCUGCGCGACGGGCGCGGGCGGGCUGCUGGCAGAUGCGUGAGGAGCAGAGCGGCCUGGCGGAGGGGCUGCAGGAGGGGCUCCGGAGGCUGAGAACCAUCCAGGGACAAGCGGACACUUUGCAGGAACAGGUCAACAAAACGUUGUCCAUGGAGGUGCGUUAGGAGCUGCGGAAGUGCCCAGUCCGGAAUCAGUACCCGGCUGCAGCCAGCCUGUCCCCUAGUGGCAAGGUUGUACUCGUGACCUGCCGUGUGCGCAGCAACGGACGAGGCCGCAGUAGCCGUAUUUACCUGCCCAUCCGCUCUACAAAGUACAGCUUUGAGAUACUUGUUAGGAAGAAUGAGCUCUAUCUCGAUUCGAGUCUGCAAAUGUGGUAUAUCUUUACAUGAACGUGGGAGCCGAUCCCACGCUUCCAUCGUAUCAUGCACCAUCCUGGAAGUCCGAUGUACUCCUACCGCGGCCCCAGCCAUGGUCACGUGCCCAAGAUGUGCGCGCCUCGCCCUCUUCCUGACUGCAGGAGGAGCUGUCUCGGCGGCAGGGCGACCUAGCCCUCCAAAUGGGUGCUCUGGAGCAGAUGGAGCAGCAGCACGCGGCCGCUGCGGAGCUCCGGUGGGAGCAGCUGCUGCAGCGGGCGGCGCACAUGGAAGAGCGUCAUGCGCACUACGAGGCGCUGCAGGAGGCGCUGGCGGCCAAAUCGGGACAGCUGUUGCAGCAGAGCGGCCAGCUGCAGGGUGCCAUUGAGACAGUGCUGGUAGCCCAGCAGCGCACCAGCUCGCUGCUAGGGAGGGUUCUGGGGGGCCAGUGGACACUCAAGGUGAGGAAAGCGAAACAGAGUGCGUGGGGCCGUAGUGAGGGUAAUUGUGCGGCCGCUGUCUGCGAAGUGCUUGGUGGGACGACGCUGCGUUGUGUUUUGUUGUAUAGCAUGGCUUGUCGGAAUCUGUGGUGGAUGGAUGACCCUCGGGCUCCAUAUGGGAAAACGUUUGCGCGAACAUGUAUACGGACAUGGUCAUACGAACCAUGGGUGAAAAAAUCUACUCUUACUGCAGUAAACGCAAAAACCUGUGGUUUCAAUAUCAAUUGGAGCCCGUCAUCGCCCACCCUCCCCAAACCCCGGAACGAACCCCAACUGCCAUCACUGGUGCUGCAGGACCUGAGCUUCUACGCUGGUGCAGCAGUCUGCAUCUUGGUGCUGACGGGUCCUGUGGCCCUACAGACCUCCCGGCUACCCCUACUUGCACUGCUGUUCAUGACUGCCGCCUGCGAGCGGGCCCUGCGGCAAUACAUGCAGAUAUGGCUGCCUCUGCUGGAAGGCGCUGUGGUAGGUAUGAAGGGGCAACCAAGCAGACGAAGAAAAUAUAGCUCUUCGGAGACGUGCCAUAGCGCCUGUCCAUGCGGACGUUGCCUCACCUGACAUGGAUCUGCAGCUGACAGCGGUUUCAGCGUAUCAGAUUCGAAGUCGAAGUGAUCAUACACCGCAUCGCCUCCUGCAGCCAUUACUAUCCCUACGGCCAGCAUCACAUGUCGGUGUCAUCCCAAUGCUAGGAGGUUCGUAUCACCACGUCUCCAAACCGCCGCGUUAAGGUGCACUCGCCGGCAAACAGGUCGCUUAUCACGACGUCCUCGCAGCCCUGAGCCCCCGCACAACACCCUGUCCGCUCCCGUUGCUCCCGCCACACAGGGCUUAUCCCCCAUGCCGUCCUUCAUCGGCAACAUGGAGCAGGCGGGCUGGUUGUUGCGCCUCCUCAGCGGCCUGGCAGGAUGUGUGCUGCUUAUGCGGCGCCUCCUGGCCACCCGGCAACGUGAUGCGGCUGAUCGCCGUGUGCUGGAAGACAUACAGCUUCAACUGGAGCAUCUGGCGGUGCAGCAGGCGCUCCUGAACAGGCACCUCAUAGGGGCCGACGGUCUGGCGACUGCCACCUGCGGACUCGACGGAGUGAAGACUCGACAGACGGGGCCACAGCCGUCGCAAUUACAUGGCCAUCUCGCCAAGCCUAGAAACCCUGCAUUACCUAUUGCUGCGCCGCCAACGCCACUGGUGACGCCGAUUGCGGCCCAGAUGGCUAGCGGCCCUCAUGUGCCUUCCCAAUGGACACCUUCCCAACUCGGCAACAGCUGCCAGACCAAGGAGGCAGCUCCCCAGGCAUGUCAGCUAACAUCAUACUCGGGCCCUUGCCAUGACGCCCUCGUAAGGCACAGCGAAGAAGCCGUGGUGGCAACGUCACCGGGACAACAGCCAGUCACCGCGCCCACCACGAGCCAUUGCACAGCCCAACGGCAUGGAAAGCAUGCUGGACGUGCCGGUGCACUUACGGCCACCGGGGCUACUAAACGUGGCCCUAGCUGCAGCAAGCGCAGGCGCGAUCCCGAACCAGGUCUGCGUGGGAGGGUUACCUCUAAACGAUUCGCUGCACAUGCAGACCUCUGAUAAGUAACUCCCGUGGGAUCCGACAUGUGCGAACAGCUGCUGACUUUAGCUGCACCGUUUGCACCUUAUCGCCCCCUUGCAGAGGACACCCAGCACCGCGCGCACAGGACACGCAGCAAGCCGAGGCCGUAACAAAGCAAGCCGAGAUAACUCACAAUUGAAAGUGGAAGAGUUGCUGGCAGACGAUGGUCGUCUAUAAUAACGGCGGCCAGACUGUUUGUGUCACAGCAACUGUGUUUUUGCUUACAACGGCCUGGAGAGCUGUCUUUCCUCCCUGGUUUCCCGUGACAACUGAUCUGUAAGCGCGCCAGCGAUUUAAGAGGCCGGGAAUGCAUCAACCAAGUAGGCAUGUAAAUGUAUAAAGCCAUGUACCCAUUGGCGAUGCCCGGCUGAACCAAUCGCCAAGGCUAUGAGCGCAACCAGCAUGGCAACGUGACGCAACGUAGCACUACACCAGGGCUCAUCUCUCCCGGUCCGACCCCCGCUCGCGAUGUCGCGAGUCCCGAGGCUGCUGCCCCGAAUGGCGCUCCCGACCCCGACUCCGACUGCGACUGCGCUCCCUACCCCGUCCUUCUUCCCCGUCCAAGCCUCUUCCCACUCUGCGCUCGCGGCCCCUGUCCCCAUCCCUUCUAGCUCCGCCCCCGCGACCCGGGCUAUCUCCUCGGUCCUACCCGCGGCCUUCGUCCCGGCGUGAUGACCUUCUGCCCGGGGACUGAGAUCCUCGACGGCCCUGACGGCCCUCACCGCGGUACUCGUCCCCGUCGGCGCACCGCUUCGUGGCAUCGCGCCAGUCCACGUCGUACCGCCCACCGCGGGCGCUGCUAGGACCAGGGCCUGCCGCCUCGUCCCUAGGCCCGACUGCCGCGUGUCGAGGCGGCGGUCGGGGAGGACCAAAGGACGGCCCGGCCAAUCCUUCCCGGUCUGGUUCCCGUUCCCUCUUUCGCCCUUUUUCCCAACCACGGUCUUCAUCCACUGCUUGACCCACAUCGCCGCGGGCGCCGUUGCGGCGAAUAGGCGGCUCCUGGGCGUCGUUCCCCAGCUCCGUUUUUACCCGUGCAUCCGCGUGGCGCGACUUCUGCGUAUCCAAGGGGCAGGCAGCGAGCGUUAGGCGUCAUUACGAACAGUCCAGAUUCGUCCGCGCGUUUUGAUGGCCAGCAUUUCAUUCCAGCUCAUCAACAACCCCGCAAUAUUCCUGGCCAGCCUUGAAAAGCGCCGGGGAUGUAAGGCAUCCUACCCAUCAUCGGCUGCCGCAGUUGUGUUUCCCCAGGCCGAUUGAGCCAGAUCUCAUAACGUACAGAGCAGAGGUCCAAUAUGCAGCCCAACAUUUCGGGGAUCAUUCUCACAUGGCCACGUGUGUAAGGCGAUGUGGGUACGAUGUAUGUGCACGUGCAUGAGGGAACCAACUUCACGGCUCCAUCUCUUCCCAAGGUGACAACGGUAGACCCUGCCCCACCUGCUUGGCAGCUUCUAGCUGUCGUGCCUCCUCCAUCAGUGCAAAAAUAGAGCCUGCGGCUGCCCACGGUUCUGCUGAUGGCUGCUGUUGCCGACCUGCUGGCGUGGGACUGUUGCCGCGGCGCUGGGAACCUCUGCCCCCUACAUGUGACAUGGAGCCCACGUCAAUUGGGUAAUUGAGCGAUUAGGAGGGAAUUAAUUAAAUGGGAGGGAGAAGAUGUGCCCAGCCGGGUACCUGGUCCAGUGUCUUGCCGCUCCGCUGACUGUCGCCCCGCUGUGCGAUCUCCUGCGCCGUUCUCCUCUUCAUCCUCCCCGACUGCGUUGGGGUCUUCACCCUCAACCUGUGGGCAGGGACCAAUUACAGCGAGUUGCUGGGCAAGACCGGCUUCUCUAGUAUGCUUAGUCCUUGGCAUGCACCAAACUACAGCCUCUGGCUUUCAGCUUCGCCAACCGUACCUCCGCCUUGCGCUUCUUGUAAUUGUCAACAUGCUCAACACGGAUCGUCCGGCCGACUACCUUUGCCCCGUUCAGAUUGUCGACCGCGAGAAUAGUGCUCCGCUGGUCCUCGUACGCGAUAAAUGCAAACCCCUUCGAUUUUCCCGUAUCCUUGUGUCGAAUGAGGUUUAAGUCGACAAUUUCUCCGUAUUGUGAGAAAACAGCGAGCAAGUCUCCUUCCGUCAACUCGUAGUCCAGACCACCGGCAAACACGUAAGCCGAAUGCUUAAACUGAGCGUGCCAAGAUGCCGAAUCUUGUAUUCCUGCUUCAAUUUCGCGUUUGGUGGCCUUUUGCGUGUUCUUAAUCUGCAGUGCGCAUGGGUAGGGGGUUCAGCCAAUCCUGGAAUCAGAUAUUAUACAAUCUAACUAAUAAACAUUAAAAUCUACCUGGGUUAGGGGAUUCAUCCUUCUGUGUGCAACAGGGUGCGUACGAAAGUGUCAACCAGUGUUAGUGAUUCUGCAAACCGUUCCUCUACGCACCCUCUGAGAACAUUGCGGAGUUCCAAUUGGUUGCCCAGCGUGGAUUACACAGGCACACAGCACCCUCAACGUACAACACGUAAGGCCCUUCUCCUUCCACUGGUUGUGAUAAAAAAUUUACUCUGCACAUGACUUGAGAUUGUGUUGCCUAAAUUCAGUAGCAUAAGAUAUAUGUGUAGAAUUUAUCAUAGGGGAUUGUGUCGAUUGUUGUCAGGGCAAAGUUUGCUGUCUCAAACCGCCUGUCAAAUCCUUAUACGCGACUACGGAUUGCACACACUCUCUAUGCCUGCGCCGCCGCCUGCCGUAAGAGUUAUUAGAGCGGCAGCGGCGGCGGCGGGGACAGGUCUUUUUUGAGAGCGAGAAGCCGGCCUUUUGCGCGCGCCCGAAAACCUGGCCCUAGCACGCACAUCCCGAAACCAUGAGGGUGUCUGCCUUGUUUUUUGACAAGGAUGCACGGUACCCGUGCCUGCUAAGCCCUUGCAAGGUUUGGGAUGAUGCGCUGUCAGAGGCGGUCUCGGGCCCCGAGCUCAAAGUCUACUGCUACUGGUACAUAGCGCGAGCGUGAAUUGCCAUUGUUUGUUCAUACAUGCAUUUGUCCUGCGUGUUUGCUUGGGUUGUAUGUGCUGUUUGGGGCGUUGUUUGGCUGGCACAGACGUUUCUCUACGAAGUUUGGGCCAGCCCUAUGCAUCCGCAUAGUUGAUAAUAGCGUGCACAUCUGAAUUUCCGCGCGUAGGGAGAGCAAAAAAGUCUCGACGUUGCUCGCACUCCAUAUCAGCAGCGGAGGUAAGUAUAGUAGCUGAGGGCUCUGUCCCAGGCAACAUAAAAGGAUACGUCAGCCAGUCUUGUCGCUUGCCUACACAGGACAAGUUCCUGACCUGAGACUGCUCCCGCUCGACCGUGCUAAGGAUCCCAGGUAUCGCUUUGCCGCCUAUGCCACGUUAGGUUGUCGCUAGUACUUAACUUCACGCAAACCGGAUUUGCAGUGCGUUCAAGCAAUUUGCGGACGAGCAUCAGCAUUGCCUUGAAGAUAGAAAGGCAAUCGUCGUCAAGAUCAAUGAGACGCGCGAGUUACUUCUCGCGCCAGUCUUCUCCAUUGAAGGUGACGACUUCUCUCAACUUGGACAAGAGCUUCCGUUGGAUGCUUAUUUCAUUUCAUGUCCUUGUGCUUUACACCUGUUUUUGUCAUCUUGUCUACCGUUUGCGACCUGUCAACUUUCUAGUUCCUCCUCCAUUGCUCUUCGACAGGGCUCUUGUCGGCUGCUUUCCACAUCGAGGGAUCACCAUGGAUGGAGAUUCUCAUUCCCUCGUUCCUUUAGAAUUUAUCUUUAGCACAUAGCACAUAUGCAGUCCACUAUCACCGUUACAAGGCCGUACAAUCAAGUAGCAGUUUGGUAACAAAGCGAAACGCCAACAUGUUCUACAAAAUCCAAGUUCCAUUAGUGCGCAAUAAACUUUCUGAUUGAAGGUUUUGUGACUGUUAGAUGAAAAGAUGACCCACGGGUCGCAAGCGACUAAAUGCCUUAGCACAUUUGCGAGGAUCACCAGCGUCUUCUUCCACUGGCUCUUAAAGCACACGCAAAGCAAGGCGACGGUGUGAAUAUCCUUUUCGGUCUCAGCAUAUGAUAAUCGCUGCCAUUGCAUGCCUUAAACAUAGCACGCCAAUAUGUUUAUCUUUACAGAAGCGAAGCUUCAACUGUGUUUUCUGGACCCUUUUUCAGCGUUUAGGCUUACAGCGCAGCUCAGACUUCUCGCACAUCCCUAAUGCCCCCAAACUACAGAUGACGGCACCAAGUGCCCGGUUUUCUGGGGUUACCUCCUGUACUUCGGCGUUGCAUCAGCCGUAUCGUUGAUGCUAGACAACAGCCGAAUGGCUGUGGUUCUUGAUCUGGACGAAACGCUGUUGGUGGCAAACUCGAUGUCGACGCUUGAUUCGAAGAUAGAGGUGGCGCGCAAGACCAGGUAUGGGCAUGCCACGUUCCAAAACACACAAAGUACACGCCCCUUGGCUACUGCAUCGACAAAGCUGCACCAAUUGCUGAGGCGCUACGCUACGGCAUCCUCAGCAAACUCUUCACAAAACACAUUCUUACGGGGCAAUGUGAGACGCGUUUGGGCUUGACUCUGGUCACAUAGUUGAAAGCUCGACAAUCGUCAGAUCAGAAUGAAUACGCAGACGUGCACACAUACACAAUAGGUGAAUUGCGGUUCACUCGAACGACGCUUACCCUCGUUGCUCUUUAUCACACCAAUAGCCGCACAUGUCUUAAACAUGUACAUGCAUUGAACAAGUACCUCGCAAGCAAGCACGACAUGAGCUGUAGCGAAGAACCCGCCGGUCCUGCUUCACGUACGCUUGACACUGUUGUGAUGGUGCUGUAUCUGCCCGGCGCGGGAGACGGGGGGCAGCUGUCACAAGCCAUGCAGAGCGUGAAGUAUUGACCAGGGCUGCGGCUUCUGUACAACAACUCAGUAGUGUCAUUACUAACUUGAUGCCGCUGUACUUUGCCCUCGCGCUCUCACGUUACCCUUUGAGCUCAAAGGCGUCUUAAAGCUGUGGAACUGCGGGAGCUGCUCAGCCAGGGGGUCACGGUGGACAGCGAGGAAGCUGCGCGGCUGCGGGGCGCGGAGUCCUCCGCCGCGCGGGAGGAGGAGCUGCUUGCGUCGGACCUGGAAAUGCUGCGUCAGUUUGCAAGCACGAGCACCGUCACCUUGAACGGCGUCUCGCACAAGGCGAAGUGAGGCGGGGAGGCCCGUCGAGUCAUUCGUAGCUUCCCCUGCCUGCGGGCCCCUGUUUUGUAUUCCUGUGAGCUGCUGUAAAACCCGCAUUGGUUGCAGUGUCGGCGUCUCAAUGUCACGUGUCGACGGCGGCUCGCCCCAGCCAUUGCUUGCAGCUUGGCACUGUUCUCACAACAUCACAUGUGCUGCCCUAUCCCUCCUUUUCCCCUUCGCGCCCUGCAGGAUGGAGCUAGCCUACUUGGAGGACGGUACGCAGGUCAAGCGGCCCGUGAUCCGGCUGGAUAAGCCGCACCCCGUCAUCUUGACGCGGAUCCGGCCGGACCAGCGGGAGACUAGCAUGAUCCUGCGGCCCCGGCCCUUCUGGGAGGAGCUGCGCGCCGUGCUAGCCGGGGACACAGAAGUGGACCAGAACGGGAAACCCAAGCUCAGGUACGCAGCCCUGGGGACAUCCGGGGACCCUCGACAUGGGAAUAUGUGCAGUCUGUGCAGUGCGCGUGUGCGUACGUACAUGCUCCUUGCGCAUCUUUGCACGGCUAGAGAGGACCAAUCAGCCACGCGACCAACCAGCAGGGGGCUGCUGAGGGGCAUUUUCCCGUCAUGUCGCCCUGUCACUGUGCCGCCCUAGGGCUUCCAGGACGCAAAAGGCACAUGUCUUGUUGACCGCGGUGAACAAUCGACCUGCCCUUUCCCAGGUUCGAUGUGUACGUAUGCACGGCAGCUGAGCGGCAAUACGCUCUGGAGGUGUGGCGGCUACUGGACACGCGAGCCAGCAUCAUCCCCACCAGUGACCGGUCGAAGCGAAUCAUCAAUGUGCCCGGCGGCCGCAAAAAGCAGCUGCUCAAGUGGGUGCUACUGUUUUGUGUGUGUGUGUGUCACGGGUCCCGGUGCGGCACUGCUAAACUGGGGCGGUCUGGCCGGUCGGUCCCAGUAAGUAAUAAGUCCCAGUUCUUUCCGGACCCUUUGGGACUGACACGAUGUGAAUGAAUCUUAGGCUACAACGGAUGAUCCGAAAGGAUUGUCCGGAUACUCCUUGCGGUAGUCGCGCGUGUAAUGGGAUAACACGUAUGAUGACGGGAGGAAAUAGCGUGCGAAGGAGCUGUUUGAUAGCUCUUUUAAUUACGGGGAAAGCUGAUGGGGGGGUGCUGACAAUGCGACCCCUUCCACUUCCCCGGAGGUCCUACUAACUGUAUUGAUGCGCCCGGCUCGGUUGCCGCCUGUCAGGUCGUUGGGGGUUGCUGACAAUGCGGGCAACCCGCGGCUGGAGUGGCCUGAGCUGCAGGAUGACGAGCCGCCUCUGCCACUUGCUGUGGUGCUGGAUGACCGGUUGGACGUGUGGGAGGCGGCGUCCCAGUCGUGCAUCCUGCAGGUAGGGGCUGCUGUCGGGUGGCCUGUUCAAGGUGUGGGCAGGCCUGGUCGUGGCCGGGUGUCCAGGUGGAGGAAAACGUGAUGGAAUGGUCAGCGAUAGGAAAGGGUCAUGAACAGCAAGAAAGCACGAUGGAACCAACAUGUGGCCUGGUGCGACCUGGUGGGGUCGCACGGCGGAACUAAAGUGGGAAGGUAGGGCUAUGGGGGGUUAGGGAAGACCACGAAGCGUUGCUUAGCUUGACCACCGUCUGGGUUGCGAACUGAUUUCUCACACGUGUUGCCACCCCACACGACCCGGCCCGGCGUUUGCGAAGGUCGUCCCCUGGUACUGGUACCGCGACGAGGCGGCGCGCCUAGUGUCGGGUCCUGGCACACCCGCGGAGCGGCUGGCGCUUGCAUCGGAGAACGAGAUCAAGCGCAUGCGCGAUGCUGUACUUCAGCUGCGUGCGGAGCUGUUUUACGACAUAAACGAGCGCCUGCGCAAGCUGGCGGAACAGCUGGUAACGUCCGGGGCGCCGGAAGAGGAUCAGCGGCGGAACCCGGGAGCGCUACUCCCGGGGCUUAAGACGGUCGCGGGCAUCCUGCGGGUGAGAGUGGGACAGAGUGAGGCUGCAACAGGGGGCGGGGCUGGGCUGGGCUGUACAUGACGGUGUCUGUGUGUGUGUGUGUGUGUGUGGUGGCAGUGCAGUGCAGUGCAGUGCAGGGGGGCCGGUGCUGUUGUGGAUGGGGAAUUGGGUUGAUGUGGUGCGGUGAUGUUGCCAUCGGGGCAUUCGCUCUGCCUUGGCGGCCUAGCCAGGUGGGGGGUUCAGUGGCGUCACGCGAGAAAUAUCUCGCAGAGUUGCUUAGAUACCAUUAAACCAUCGCCCUACCCCUGCUGCAACGGCUCUGCCUCUUCCCAGGCUGCUGCUAGUCGCGUCUACCAGAUGCCCACCCUCGCGUCCAUUGCGGCGCAGUUCCGCCCCAGCAGCCUCACGCCGCCCCCGGAAAUGGAAUCUCUCGGAAUGCCGCCACCACCGGGGGGGUUUCUCCCUGAGGUGGUCUUCCCGCCCGGCACCCAGGGGCCGCUGGUAGCUGGGGGGGCCCUGGCGGCUGCGGCGCCUUUGGCCGUGCAGCCCGCAGCUGCUGCACCCACAGGCGCUGGGCCCGAUGGCUUGAUGCUUAACGGCCUUAGCACCCCUGCAGCGGCUGCCGGCGUGCCUGCUCAGCCGGGACCGGGGCAAGGGCAAGGACCGGCUCUACCGCAAGUCAUCUCUCUCAAGCCUGUGGAUCCUCGCGCGGCACGAAGGGUACGCAGGAGGAGGACGUUCUGAUCCCUGGAUUCGUGAUACCGACAUGCCUUGUUCCUGUCACUACCCAGGGAAUAACACGCGACUGUCAUCAUGCCGUGGGCCCUCCCGGCCUGCCUUGCCUUUAUCAGGGCUUCCAGCACCGGUUUCAGCAAUCCUAUUCGCUAUCGGGAGGACCCCAGUGCCCCAGCGGAAAUUGCGAUGCGUUGAUGUCGCGGACUCCCCGGUAAAGCUCAUUACGAGAGCUCAUGAAACUGUUACGGGCCUUUGUUUGGGGAAACGGAGUGCAGGCAGUGUCAUCUGGCGUAGGCAGACUGGAACACUCAUAUAACCAGUUCAGUAAUACGUUUAAAUAUGUUUACAAUAAAAAAACAACCGCAAUCCAGCGUUGCUGUGGUGUUUCGUCUCAGUACUGCAUUUUUCCCGGUCUGUUGCAGGCAGCUGCGGCGGCUCAGCGCGCCAGCGCCACCCAACGUUCCGCCGGCGGCAUCGUGCUGCAGCCGCCAGCUCCCGGGAUGGGGCCCCAGCCCAUCACCGCCUUCGGCGCCCUGACAUCUCUUGGGCCGCCUGCAGCUCCCCAGCCGGCGGCAGAGCCGCUUAAGCGGCGCAUCGCGCCGGGCGCGUUGGAUCCCAGUAAAUGGAGCAUUGAAGCGUUGGAUGCCGGAGGUCCCGAGCAGCAGCAGCAGCCUGAACCUCCAGCAUCGGGUGCGACCGCCGGCCCUGGCUCCGCCCCUGGAGAUGCUGCUGCAGUCUCCGGUGACCCGCGACAAGCCUCAGCUGGUGCUCGCGUUGAAGAGGGCCGCGGGGCGGUCACCUUGGAUGGUGGGACAGAACUGAGCGGCGGCGGCUCGGGGGGAGCUCAGCCGCAGCAGCAAGCGGACUCGUUAGAUAAUGCAGCGAAACCUGGGCCGGGAUCAGUCCAGGCGCAGCAGGCACAGCAGGAGGUCCAGGGGAGCCAGGCGACCUCGACCUCCGAUGCGCAGCAGCAGCAGAAACCGAUUUCCCAGGCUGGCUCAGGGCCUGCUAGUACGGCAGGAGGUGCAAGUGUGGGCGGGGCCGGUGCUGGGCCGGCGGGUGCACGUAAACAAGCUGACGACGCGUUGUUAGCGGCGCUUCGCAGCCAGAUCCAAGGCUUUGACCCGUCACUGCAGGCAGUGAUUGCGGAGUUGCUACGGAACCCGGAGAUGCUUAGAAAUCCGGAGACCCUGCGGCUGCUGCAGCAGCAGUCCAAAGCACAGGCACAGAAGAACUUGCAACAACAACAACAUCAACAGCAACAGCAAGCGUCGCACGCGACCCAGGCAUCUAAGCAGGCGCAGCCGGGGCCAGGGCCCAACACGAGCAGCGGGGGUCAAGCUCCGGCUGCGGCGGGGUCCGCGGCCACAGCUGCUGCUGAAGUCGGUCCCCAACCGCCCCAGCAGACGUUGCCGCCGCCGCCACCGCAGCCGCCACAGCAACAGCAGCCCGGACUGCAGCCUGCAAGCGGGCAACGACAUGCAACUCCGCCCCUGCAGCAGGCUUCGCAACAGCAGCAGAACCCACCCGUGACGUUACAACAGCCUCCACAGCAGCAGCAAGGGCAGCUUCCAGCGCAGCAGCUGCCGCUGCAGCAGAAGCACCAGCCCUCCCAGCAGCAACCGCCGCCGCAGCAUCGUCCGCCACCUCCUCAGCAUUUUCCGCAGCCGGGCCCGCCGCAACAAACACCGCCAGGGCCGCAAGGGCCGUCCCAGUAUCCACCACCGCCAUCCUCGCAACCCCAGCCCCCGGCUCUGCACCAGCCACCGUCGGCACAGCAGACGGGGGCGGCAGCUCCCCAGCAGCAAGCGCCUGGCACAUCGGCAGCUGUAAAAGAACAACAACAACAACAACAACAACAACCACAGCAACGACAACAACAGCAACAACAACCACAGCAACGACAACAACAGCAACAACAACCACAGCAACGACAACAACAGCAACAACAACCACAACAACAAGAACCACAGCAACAACAACAACAACCACAACAACAACCACAACAACAACCACCACAACAACAAUCACAACAACAAUCACAACAACAACAAUCACAGCAACCUGGGUUGCAAUUCCCACCACCGCCGCCGCAGGGUCCUCCAAACCAGCAGCCACCCCGUCACCACGCACAGCAGCCCCAGCAGCGACACCAACACCAGCCUCAACCUCCCCCAGGGGCACCGCCGGCCCGGCCUCUGCCACACCCUCCGCCAGUCAGAUCGUCUACUCCGCCGUUGCUGGGGCAGGGCCAGGGUCAAGGUGGGCCCCCAGGGCCUCCGCCUCAUCACGGGGGAGGGCCAUCACAGGGCUUGUCGAACGGGCCGGGCCCUUCUGGUCCGCCACCGCAGGGCCAGCCCGGACUGCCGCCUCCCCCGGGGCCGCCGCCCCUAGGGGCCCCACCGCAGGCGCCACACCAGGUUUCCCAGCCCCAGCAGGGCCAGCCGGGUCCCCUGCAGGCUGUACAGAUGCAGGUGAUGGUGGGUCCCGACGGGCGGAUCAUCCUACAGCCACCGCCCGCUCAACAGGGACCCGGUAGCGGACCGCAUACGGGCGGGCCGCAGGCACUGCCAGGCCCAGGCCAACAAAUGCAGGGUCCUCCUUUGGGGUCGGGGCAGAUGGGUCCCGGUGCAUCUGGGUUUAUGGGCCCCGGGCCCAUGCAGCUGCAAGGCCCGGGCAUCAUGGGCAACAAGGGCGGUAUGCCAGCGCCACCACCACAGCAGCAACAGGGACAGCAACCCGCGGGCCAACCCAUGCAGAUGCCCAUGCCGCUACCUGGCGGCGGCUUGACUGGCGCACUUGUAGGCCCUGGUGCUAUGGGUCCCGCAGGCAUGGUAGCAAACGCGCCACCGCGCGACGUGCUGAUGCAGCAGAUGCUAAUUGGCGAGAUGAUGAACUUGGACAUGCAGAUGGCAGCGAUGAGCGGGAUGAUGGUACCUAUGGGCGGGAUGGGGGGUCCAGGAGGCGGAGGAAUGAUGGGCCCGGGUAUGGGUGCCCCUGGGCCCGGGCAUCAGGGCAGCGGGCAGCCGAUGUUGGGGAUGGCCAUGAUGGGUCCUGGGGGCCCUCAGGGCGGCCCCAUGCAGCAGCAGAUGGGCCCCAUGGGGCCGCUGCAGCCGAACGGGCCGCAGGGGAUGCCCCUGGUGAUGAUGAUGAUGCCACCGCAGGGACCUGGGGCCGGGAUGCCGGUCGCCAUGCAAUUUCCUCAGGGCGCGGGACCUGUGCAAAUGCAGAUACCCGGGAUGCCGCAGCAGCAGCCCCAACAGCAGAUGCAGCAACAGCAGCCGCAACAGGGCCCGAUGCCGCAUGGGAUGAACAUGGGAAUGCCCCCCCAGCCGCAGCAGCCGCAGCAGAUGGGACAUCCCAUGGGGCCCCAUGGCGGAAUGGGCGGAAUGCCGCAAGGGGCUCCUGUGAACGGCCCAUUCGGCGGACCGCAGAUGCUUCAGCCGGGGCAAAUGCAACCCCAACAACAACAGCAGGGACAACUGCAGGGACCGCAGGGACAAAUGCCGCCCCCGCAGCAGCCACAACAGCAAGGGAUGUCUACACAAGGGAUGCAGUUUGCAGGCGCGCAGCAACCGAUGCACUUCAUGGGCGGGCCAGUUCAGGGGCAGGGCAUGCAGGGUCACGGCAUGACGUCGGGGCAACCUCCGAUGGGCAUGAUGUCCGGCGGCCCUGUGAUGCAUGCCGGCAUGAAGCGCCCGCCGUCGCCCUCAAAUCUUGCCCCUGGGGAGCCGCCCAGCAAGGCGCCUCGGCAAGGUGGUGGCAGCAUCCUGGAAAAUGGCACUCCGAGUGGCGGCCUGCCCGGCGGCUUGCCGCCCUGGCAAGCCUCGAUCCAGCCACAACAGCAGCAACAUCAAGGCGGAGGUCCCCCGGCUGGUAGCGCAGCCCAGCCGCCUGGUCCGCCGCCCUUCGCGCCGCAAGAUAGCGCCACCGGCAGCGACUCCUCCGGCGUAAUGGUGCCCCUGGAGAACCCUGUGACCAAGCUAAACGAGAUUGCGCAGCGCAAUAAGGUGCGCUUGGCGUUUCGGGAAGCCAAGGACGGCGAGAGCGGGAGCGUGGGCUGGACAAUAACUGCCAUCUACGGCGGCAAGGUGAGCGGUUGUCUGUGACCUUGGAUUCGACGCGCGUGAAAGCACAUCUUAAGCCACUUGGGCUGGUUGCAUUCGUGCACCGUACAAAAGGUAAUAAAUGAUACGGUGUAUCCGCCCGCCUACGUGCCGCGGAGUAGUGUCAUGACCGGUCGGCCCAUUACAUGGCGUGCUGUUUCCCGGGUUAAGACUUGCACUUGCGCUUGCCUGCUUCAGCUGACCUUGCAAGGCUCCGGAACCAUUGCAUGGGGCCGCUGGUACACCAGAUCCUAGUGCUUCCUGGCCAUGGGAGCCAUGACAGCGCGACAGGCACAUGAACUCGAGCGCAUUACCGUCUCGAACUCAGAGGUCAAUGUUGUGUGCAGCUUCGAUGCUACGGUCGGCUACCUGUCCCGCUCACUCCCCCUCUUCGAACUCGGGUCUGCAGGACAUUGGCCGGGGACAUGCAGCCACGAAGAAGGACGCCAAGCGAUUGGCGGCCAUGGAUGGCUUGAAGGCCCUGGGCAUCAGCCUCGCCGUAGGGCCACCGGCGGGCAGCCGCAACCUGGCAGGGCCGCAGCCGCAGCAGCAGACCACCUCCGCGUCUUCCCACCCCAACCAGAGCUCUGGAGGGUCGGGGGCGUUCAUUGGCCCGGUGCCGCCGCCACCGCCGCCCACGGAGGCCGCUUCGGAGGUUGUGAGCUCCAGUGCGGCCGGGGGUGCGGGGCCGGGACAUGGACCGGGUACGGGUACGGGGGGCCACCCCGCCAAUGACGCCACGAUGUACCGCCUCAUCAGCAUGUUUGGCAAAGACAACUUGCUCUUUGCAAACAUGGAGGACGAGGGGUACCCGCCGGCAAGGUGAGAUGUCCCUCGGGAACGGGCAGGAGGGGAGGGGAGGAGAGGGUCGUGGGGAAAUGCACUGCUAUCCAUGGUUUCCCUGACGCCGUUCGUCUCCCGCCAGCGAGCUGAAGGUGUCAGCCGGUGGUGUGUUCAUGCCUUCACCUCUCGAGUGCACUCCCUUCGCCUCCUGGCCUCUCUCGUCGCACGACCCCUUGCGUCCCGCACGGGGGGCCGUAACGGCCCAUCCUAACUUGCAUUCGGCACUCAACACGAGCUCCCUUCCCUUCUCCGCUUCUCUUCUCUUCACCUCUGUGUAGGUACGCAAAGGUGGAGUUGACCAUCCGCAACACGCAGCACCGCGUCCAGGGAGAAGGCCAAAGCCGCCGUGCAGCCCGACUGGAUGCAGCUGCCCGCAUGCUGGCGCACCUGGGGGUGCCCGCACCCGGUCUGGCCACCUCGUCAGCGCAGCGUGAGGCGGGCAACGUGUAUAGCCGCGGGGGGGGGAGUGGUCAGGAUAGCGACAGUGACGGCGGCGCGGCAGGACCCUCUGGCAACGGUCGUGCAUCGCACCACCACCAUCACCACCAUCAUCAUCACCAGUCACAGCAGCGCGGCCAACAGUUGCAGCAGCAGCAGCAGCCGCGCGCCAGCUCGCGAAGCCCCCGUCCAAGCGAGGACGAGGGCGAUGAGGCGGACGAGGACUACGACGUGCUGGCCGGCGCAUCGUACUAUACCCGCGGCACACGGCCUGGCAGCAAGACUGCUAAACGUGCUGCACAGCCGGAUGACCUCGGAGGCGGAGGCAGCAGCAAGGCUUACGUGGCGGACUUCAUGCAGCUCAUAGCUGAGGAGCUUGACGACGGGCUGGGAGGAGGGGGAGGAGGGGGCGGGGCCCCGAUACCCGGGCACGCAGGCAGCGGGGCAGCUGGGGGGAAACGGGCGGCCAGCCGGGGCAUGGAACCGAAACAGCCGCAGUCCAACCAGCAGGCCGGGGAUGACUCGUCUGAGGAGGAGGAAGGGGAAUUGCCCAGCGAAGAAGAGGGGGGCUAGGCGAGUGCUGCUAGCAAGAGGGGGGCUUGGCUUGGUUCAUAAUGAAGGAUGCUGUAGACGGAACAGGUAAAAUUAGUGAGAGAGGGCUAUGCGGCCCGUACGCUGUGUGCCAUAGAGCACAGCGCCGCCCCCCCACCCCCCCAUGAGUGGUCUAGGCAGGCAGGCAGGCAGGCAUAGGUCAACGGCUCUGGGGUAUGGAUGCUGAAACGCUGGGGUUGCAGUUGGACCCUGCCCUACAGGUCGUGCGGUGUUUGGUGGGUGCUGAGGAUGCAGCUCGUUAGGAAUAAUGGCUCAAGAUGAUUGGUGGCGUUGUUAGGGCUACCGCUGAGCGCUGUGAUAGCUGGGAUAGCGAGCCGAGCGUGUUUAAAUUUGUGCGCUGUUUGUCGGUCUGUGCGAGUUGCGUAGUGAUGGUCAUUGGUCAUUGUGUGAAGCAGGCUCUAGGACACGGCAGGCAUUAGAGCACUGAGGCAAGUUCCCAUCCUACCUCCUACAGCCGCUUGACAAUGCGUGGAGGCCUCGCGCAGCGAGAGAAGUGCCAGUGCAGUAAGUCGGUCCAGACAUAGACAGACAGACAGACAGACAGACAGACACCGACAGACAGACGAGCAGGCAGUGGUAGGGAUUGCUUAGUGUAUGACUGACUUGCAGGAAGGACCCAUGGGCCCAUGGCCAAUGGUUUUAGAUGAGCGGCCGCAUGGGCCCGCGCUUUGCUACACGACCUGACCUGCACGCACGCCGUACGGUACGACUUGUGCGCAUUCGCCGCGCUGUGGUGCAUCAUGGUCCCGUCCUUUUUUUUGCUCGGACAUGGUUGGCGUGACACGUGCGUGCAUGCUGCUUCCUGCCCUUUUGGGCCUGGGGCGCUUCACACGGAUACACACGGGGUGCCAGACAUUAUGAAUGUGGUUGAAUGCUGCAAGGUUACGCUUUUUCAUAUUUAUAUUAGCCGUAAGGGGGUGCAGGUUCCAGCAGGUGCUUGAAUAGGCUGAAUGACACAAGGCCUGAAGUGGCAUACGCACUGGUGCGCCCAGAAUUUUGGGUCACAGUGGUAGUGUGACCUCGCCCACGAUCUAAAGCGUUGUUAGGGGAGGGGGCACAUCAUCUGGGUGCAGGUCCAAGAUACAUCGAAAACAUCUCAAUUGCGCUCGAGUUAUACGGUUUAUCACAGGAGCGCUUUGGUAUGCCUUUUACAAUCU